rnacentral:rRNA from 1 species
GACGAACGCUGGCGGCGUGCUUAACACAUGCAAGUCGAACGGAAAGGCCCUGCUUUUGUUGGUUGCUCGAUUGGCGAACGGGUGAGUAACACGUGUGUAACCUGCCCUUGACUUUGGGAUAACUUCAGGAAACUGGGGCUCAUACCGGAUAGGAGCUCCUGCUGCAUGGUGGGGGUUGGAAAGUUUCGGCGGUUGGGGAUGGACUCGCGGCUUAUCAGCUUGUUGGUGGGGUAGUUGCUUACCAAGGCUUUGACGGGUAGCCGGCCUGAGAGGGUUACCGGCCACAUUGGGACUGAGAUACGGACCAGACUCCUACGGGAGGCAGCAGGGGGGAAUAUUGCACAAUGGGCGGAAGCCUGAUGCAGCAACGCCGCGUGCGGGAUGACGGCCUUCGGGUGGUAAACAGAUGUCGCCUGUGACGAAGAGUGAGUGACGGUAAUGGGUAAAGAAGCACCGGCUAACUACGUG